CGUCCUCUGCCGUGCGCGACAGCCCACACCAACAUUUCGCCUUGACCCAUAACCACGGCCCGGGGAUCCCGCUUCAACGCCGGUGUGCAGGUCCGCCCCGUUGCGGAAAGCCUGAAGGCGAUGACGGCAUCCCCACUUGAUCCUCGGGAUCAAGGUCGUUGUGCGGGCAUCGGCAUGGCGGAGGCCGC
rnacentral:other from 1 species